rnacentral:pre_miRNA from 1 species
GGCUGAGUCACAGCAGUUCUUCAGUGGCAAGCUUUACGUCCUGUCCCAGCUAAAGCUGCCAGUUGAAGAACUGUUGAACUCAGC